rnacentral:rRNA from 1 species
UUCUUUAAAAUUAAAGGAUUUGGCGGUAUUUUAGUCUGUUCAGAGGAACCUGUUUUUUAAUUGAUAGUCCACGAUGAGCUUUACUUUUGUUUUUAAUUUGUAUAUCGUCGUUUAUAAAAAUUUUAUUAAAUAAUUUUUUCAGAUCAAGGUGUAGUUUAUAUAAAAGUUAAAAUGGGUUACAUUGAAAAUUUUAAUUAAAUUGGAUUUGAUAGUAAGCUCUAAAAUAUGCACAUAUCGCCCGUCGCUUUCACUUUAAGGUGAAAUAAGUCGUAACAAAGUAGGCUUAUUGGAAAAUGAGCCUGGAAUGCAAAUUAGAGCUUGUUAAGCAUUUUAUUUACAUUAAAAAGUUAAUUGUGAAAUUCAAUUUAAUUUGAUCUGAUUUUAUUAUUAAUUUUAUUGUUUUUGUUUCUUUAUCUGAAAAAUAUUAUUUUUUAUUUUAUGUUUGAAAAAAUGUAAUUAUAGUUUAUUGUACUGUGAAGGAUUUAAUUUAUGUUUUGAACAGAAGAUUUUAUUUAUUGUACCUUGUGUAUCAGGGUUUAUUAAUUUAUUUUUCCCGAUUUAAAAAGAGCUAUUUUUACUGUAGAAUAAGUAUUUUGAAUAUUUUCAUAGAAAUGAAACGUUAUUCGUUUUUUAAUAUAUCUGGUUUUUCAAGAAAUAAAUUUAAUUUAUUUGAAUAAUAGCAUUAUUUAGGGAUAAGCUUGUUUACAAAUUAUUAUAAGUUUUUAAUUUUAGAUUUUAUAUAGGAUUAGAAUUUUCCAUUAUUUUAAGUAUGUUAUAUUUUAUGUCUUUAAUUUUUUAUUGAAAAUUGUUUUAUAAUUUUGUAUUUUUUGUUAAUAUGAUGGAAUUAGUAAGGUAAAGUAAAGGAACUCGGCAAAUUAAUUUUCACCUGUUUAUUAAAAACAUGGCCUUUUGUCAAUGAAUUAAGGUUUGGCCUGCCCAAUGAUUAAAUGGCCGCAGUAUUUUGACUGUGCAAAGGUAGCAUAAUCAUUAGUUUCUUAAUUAGAAGCUGGAAUGAAUGGUUUGAUGAAAAAUUAACUGUCUCUAGAAUUUUAUUUUUAAGUUAGAAAGCUUAAAUUUUAUAUAAAGACGAGAAGACCCUAUAGAGUUUUUUUGUUGGGGUGAUAAAUAAAUUUGAUUAACUUUAUUUUUUUUUGAUUUUUUGAUCCCGGAUUAAAAGAUUAAAUUACCUUAGGGAUAACAGCGUAAUUUUUUCUGAAAGUUCUUAUUG